rnacentral:rRNA from 1 species
AUACGAAGGGGGCAAGCGUUGUUCGGAAUAACUGGGCGUAAAGCGCACGUAGGCGGAAUGUUAAGUUAGAGGUGAAAUCCCAGGGCUCAACCCUGGAACUGCCUUUAAUACUGGCAAUCUAGAGACCGAGAGAGGUGAGUGGAAUUCCGAGUGUAGAGGUGAAGUUCGUAGAUAUUCGGAGGAACACCAGUGGCGAAGGCGGCUCACUGGCUCGGUACUGACGCUGAGGUGCGAAAGCGUGGGGGGCAAACAGGAUUAGAAACCCCAGUAGUCC